rnacentral:antisense_RNA from 1 species
CUUUCGCGUCUGCGGCUCGGAGUGUGGUGCUUCUGCUGGUUGCAGUCAGGCUUCAUACGCUAUUGUCCUGCCCGUAAGUUCCCGUUUUGUGUGUGUUAGAGCAGCCAGCGGGUACAGAAUGGAUUUUGGAAGAGGGAGUCACCACUGGACCUCCAAGGAAGCCACGUGCAGACGUCUACAACCUUCGAUCUCCUGACGAGUUUAUUGUUGGCCAAAACCAGGCUUUGAUUGAACCAGGAUGAAUGCGGGUGUUGGAAGUAGAAUAUAUAUAUACAUAUAAAAUUGGUUGGGAGCCACGUGUACCAGUGUGUGUUGAUCUUGGCUUGAUUCAGUCUGCCUUGUAACAGAAACUGGCGAUGGAAUAUGAGAGGAGCCCUCUGGAAAGAAAAGGACAGACCCUGUGCUUUCAUGAAAGUGAAGAUCUGGCUGAACCAGUUCCACAAGGUUACUGUAUACAUAGCCUGAGUUUAAAAGGCUGUGCCCACUUCAAGAAUGUCAUUGUUAGACUUUGGUGAAAUUUCUAACUGCCUACCUGGCUAAAGAAAAUAAAAUCUUUUAAAUCAAAA